UUGUUGCGGUUAAAAGCUCGUAGUUGGAUUUCUGUCGAAAACGGCCGGUCCGCACUAUGUGCGUGUAUCUGGUUCGGUUUUGGCAUCCUCAUGAAGAACGUAACUGCGCUUGAUUGCGUGGUGCGGUAUUCAUGACUUUUACUUUGAGGAAAUUAGAGUGUUCACGGCAGGCAAGCGCCUUGAAUAUAUUAGCAUGGAAUAAUAAUAUAGGACAUGGGUUCUAUUUUGUUGGUUUCUAGAACUUAUGUAAUGAUUAAUAGGGAUAAUUGGGGGCAUUCGUAUUAACGCGUCAGAGGUGGAAUUCUUGUAUUGCGUUACGACGAACUACUGCGAAAGCAUUUGCCAAGGAUGUUUUCAUUGAUCAAGAACGAAAGUAUGGGGAUCGAAGAUGAUUAGAUACCGUCGUAGUCUAUACCAUAAACUAUGCCGACUAGAGAUUGGAGGUCGUUCUUUUUAUGACUCCUUCAGCACCUUAUGAGAAAU
rnacentral:rRNA from 1 species